ACUGCAUAUCGUGCAAUCGCCCCGUUCUUUCAUUAAGAGCGGGGAGGAAAGUCCGAACUCCACAGGACGGAGCACCUCCUAACCGGAGGGUAUCCUGAAUGCAAGUUCAGGAUAACGGAAAGUGUAACAGAAAAAAUACCGUCCCAUCCCGUUAUAACGGGACGGGAUAAGGGUGAAAUGGCGAGGUAAGAGCUCACCAGACCGGUAGUAAUACCGGUGCUUGACAAACCCUGCUCGGAGCAAGACCAUGUAUGUCCCGAAAAGUGGUCCGCUUAUUUUUUUCCAACAAUGUUGGAGAAAAACGGGACGGGUAGGUCGCUUGAGAAUGCAUGCGAGUGCAUUCCCAGAUAGAUGAUUGCAAUCACGGUUACCGUGAUACAGAAUUCGGCUUACAGAUAUGCAGUUUUU
rnacentral:RNase_P_RNA from 1 species